AUUGAACGCUGGCGGCAUGCCUUACACAUGCAAGUCGAACGGCAGCACGGGGGCAACCCUGGUGGCGAGUGGCGAACGGGUGAGGAAUACAUCUGAACGGGUCCGGGAGUGGGGGAUAGCGCGGCGAAAGCCGGAGUAAUACCGCAUACGCUCUACGGCGGAAAGGGGGGGAGGUGAGGACCUCCCGCUACAGGGGCGGCCGAUGUCAGAUUAGCUAGUUGGUGGGGUAAAGGCCUACCAAGGCGACGAUCAGUAGCUGGUCUGAGAGGACGAUCAGCCACACUGGGACUGAGACACGGCCCAGACUCCUACGGGAGGCAGCAGUGGGGAAUUUUGGACAAUGGGGGAAAGCCUGAUCCAGCAAUGCCGCGUGUGUGAAGAAGGCCUUCGGGUUGUAAAGCACUUUUGUCCGGAAAGAAAACGCCGUGGUUAAUACCUGUGGCGGAUGACGGUACCGGAAGAAUAAGCACCGGCUAACUACGUG
rnacentral:rRNA from 1 species